AGUAGAUGGGGAACAACCUAGUUGUGCGUGUGUAAAGGUAGUGCCAAGAAAAGCGGUGAUCAUGAUGAAAAUCAAUUCCCGGUACCCAAAACCGACACAGGUGGGCAAGUAGAGAAUACUAAGGGGCGCGAGGUAACUCUCUCCAAGGAACUCGGCAAAAUGACCCCGUAACUUGGGGAGAAGGGGUGCCACCGAGAGGUGGUCGCAGUGAAGAGGCCCAGGCGACUGUUUAGCAAAAACAUAGGUCUCUGCAAACUCGAAAGAGGAGGUAUAGGGGCUGACGCCUGCCCAGUGCCGGAAGGUUAAAGAAGUUGGUCAGUCUUAGGAUGAAGCUAGCGACUGAAGCCCCGGUGAACGGCGGCCGUAACUAUAACGGUCCUAAGGUAGCGAAAUUCCUUGUCGGGUAAGUUCCGACCCGCACGAAAGGCGUAACGAUCUGGGCGCUGUCUCGGAGAGAGGCUCGGCGAAAUAGGAUUGUCUGUGAAGAUACGGACUACCUGCAUUUGGACAGAAAGACCCUAUGAAGCUUUACUAUAGCUUGGAAUUGUGUUCGGGCUUCCUGUGCGCAGGAUAGGUGGGAGGCGUAGAAGGUAUUCUUGUGGGGAUACUGGAGCCAACGGUGAGAUACCACUCUCAGGAGGCUAGAAUUCUAACUUAAUUAAGGACAGUUUCAGGUGGGUAGUUUGACUGGGGCGGUCGCCUCCAAAAAGGUAACGGAGGCGUACGAAGGUUCCCUCAGACUGGUUGGAAAUCAGUCGCAGAGUGCAAAGGCAGAAGGGAGCUUGACUGCGAGAAGUACAGUUCGAGCAGGGUGGAAACACGGUCUUAGUGAUCCGACGGUGCUGAGUGGGAGGGCCGUCGCUCAACGGAUAAAAGUUACUCUAGGAUAACAGGCUGAUCUCCCCCAAGAGUUCACAUCGACGGGGAGGUUUGGCACCUCGAUGUCGGCUCAUCGCAACCUGGGGCGGAAGUACGUCCCAAGGGUUGGGCUGUUCGCCCAUUAAAGCGGUACGUGAGCUGGGUUCAGAACGUCGUGAGACAGUUCGGUCCAUAUCCGAUGUAGGCGUGAGAAUAUUGAGAGGAGCCUUCCUUAGUACGAGAGGACCGGGAAGGACGCACCGCUGGUGUACCUGUUAUGAUGCCAAUUGUAAACGCAGGGUAGCCAAGUGCGGAGAGGAUAACCGCUGAAAGCAUCUAAGUGGGAAGCCCACCUCAAGAUGAGUAUUCUGGUGUAAGGUCACGGGAAGACGACCCGUAAAUAGGCACGAGGUGGAAGUGCAGAGAUGUAUGAAGCCGAAGUGUACUAAUAGACCGUCGGCUUGUCC
rnacentral:rRNA from 1 species